GUAUAGGAGCUGUCUAUUACCUACUAAUGUUCAAGCUUUAGUGUGUACAAGGAACUGGUUAAAAGGAUUUCCUGAAAUUGGUGAUGAGUCUAUUGAGAAGACAAAAGAGGAGAAAGAAGAAGAGGAUAAAGAGAAGGAGAAAGAAGAAGAGAGUGGAGAGUCUAUAGACUUGAAUUGAGGCUGAAGAUACAAGUAGACAAGCUGGAAGAUUGCCAACAGAUCAUGCAAUAUUUCUGUGAAAGAAUCAAUAAAAACAAACGUCUUUGAGACUAUUUCAAUUUCAGUCAUAUUUAAGUAUUUUUUUUUUUUGAAAAAACAUAUUUAAAUUUUUAAAGAAAUUAUAUAAUUUUUAUUUGCUAUAA